AAGAUAGAAUAGAACAAGACCACUGGAAGGUUCAAGUUUAAACGUGAACAUAUAAAAUGAAGGUAGAGAAAAUUCUUUUGCUUUUUUGUUGAUAGAAAAUAUCAACAUUUUUAUGAGGAUACUGAAAUAUAAACAUUU
ensembl:ncRNA T10H10.6 ncRNA